rnacentral:rRNA from 1 species
UACGUAGGGUGCAAGCGUUAAUCGGAAUUACUGGGCGUAAAGCGUGCGCAGGCGGUUAUGUAAGACAGAUGUGAAAUGCCCGGGCUUAACCUGGGAACUGCAUUUGUGACUGCAUGGCUAGAGUUUGGCAGAGGGGGGUAGAAUUCCACGUGUAGCAGUGAAAUGCGUAGAUAUCUGGAGGAACACCGGUGGCGAAGGCGGCAUUCUGGACCAAUACUGACGCUGAGGAGCGAAAGCCAGGGGAGCAAACGGG